CACUUUCAAACAACGGUUCUCGUCCGAUCAUCGGAGUUAAGAGACUUCAAGCCUGGUUAGUUCCUAGAUGGGCGACCGCUUGGGAAUACCAGGUGCAGUAAG